rnacentral:rRNA from 1 species
AUUGAACGCUUGCGGCAUGCCUUACACAUGCAAGUCGAACGGUAACGGGUCCUUCGGGAUGCCGACGAGUGGCGAACGGGUGAGUAAUAUAUCGGAACGUGCCCAGUAGUGGGGGAUAACUGCUCGAAAGAGCAGCUAAUACCGCAUACGACCUGAGGGUGAAAGGGGGGGAUCGCAAGACCUCUCGCUAUUGGAGCGGCCGAUAUCAGAUUAGCUAGUUGGUGGGGUAAAGGCCUACCAAGGCAACGAUCUGUAGUUGGUCUGAGAGGACGACCAGCCACACUGGAACUGAGACACGGCCCAGACUCCUACGGGAGGCAGCAGUGGGGAAUUUUGGACAAUGGGCGCAAGCCUGAUCCAGCAAUGCCGCGUGCAGGAAGAAGGCCUUCGGGUUGUAAACUGCUUUUGUCAGGGAAGAAAUCUUCUGGGCUAAUACCCCGGGAGGAUGACGGUACCUGAAGAAUAAGCACCGGCUAACUACGUGCCAGCAGCCGCGGUAAUACGUAGGGUGCGAGCGUUAAUCGGAAUUACUGGGCGUAAAGCGUGCGCAGGCGGCUUUGCAAGACAGAUGUGAAAUCCCCGGGCUCAACCUGGGAACUGCAUUUGUGACUGCAAGGCUAGAGUACGGCAGAGGGGGAUGGAAUUCCGCGUGUAGCAGUGAAAUGCGUAGAUAUGCGGAGGAACACCAAUGGCGAAGGCAAUCCCCUGGGCCUGUACUGACGCUCAUGCACGAAAGCGUGGGGAGCAAACAGGAUUAGAUACCCUGGUAGUCCACGCCCUAAACGAUGUCAACUGGUUGUUGGACGGCUUGCUGUUCAGUAACGAAGCUAACGCGUGAAGUUGACCGCCUGGGGAGUACAGCCGCAAGGUUGAAACUCAAAGGAAUUGACGGGGACCCGCACAAGCGGUGGAUGAUGUGGCUUAAUUCGAUGCAACGCGAAAAACCUUACCUACCCUUGACAUGUCAAGAAUUCUGCAGAGAUGUGGAAGUGCUCGAAAGAGAACUUGAACACAGGUGCUGCAUGGCCGUCGUCAGCUCGUGUCGUGAGAUGUUGGGUUAAGUCCCGCAACGAGCGCAACCCUUGUCAUUAGUUGCUACGCAAGAGCACUCUAAUGAGACUGCCGGUGACAAACCGGAGGAAGGUGGGGAUGACGUCAGGUCCUCAUGGCCCUUAUGGGUAGGGCUACACACGUCAUACAAUGGCCGGUACAGAGGGCUGCCAACCCGCGAGGGGGAGCCAAUCCCAGAAAACCGGUCGUAGUCCGGAUCGUAGUCUGCAACUCGACUGCGUGAAGUCGGAAUCGCUAGUAAUCGCGGAUCAGCUUGCCGCGGUGAAUACGUUCCCGGGUCU